UACGGAGGGAGCUAGCGUUGUUCGGAAUUACUGGGCGUAAAGCGCGCGUAGGCGGCUUUGUAAGUUAGAGGUGAAAGCCCGGGGCUCAACCCCGGAACUGCCUUUAAGACUGCAUCGCUUGAAUCCGGGAGAGGUGAGUGGAAUUCCUGGUGUAGCAGUGAAAUGCGUAGAUAUCAGGAGGAAUACCGAUGGCGAAGGCAGGUCUCUGGGCUAUAACUGACGCUCAUGCACGAAAGCGUGGGGAGCAAACAGG
rnacentral:rRNA from 1 species